rnacentral:rRNA from 1 species
AGUGAACGCUGGCGGCGUGCCUAAUACAUGCAAGUCGAACGGAGUGGCGCACGGGUGAGUAAUAUAUAGCUAAUCUGCCCCUUGCUGGAGGACAACAGCUAGAAAUGACUGCUAAUACUCCAUAGCGAUGGAUGAGGCUAUAACGUCUCAGCUAGUCGGUGGGGUAACGGCCUACCGUGGCUAUGACCCGUAACUGGUCUGAGAGGAUGAUCAGUAGCAUUCGAACUGAGACACGGUCCAAACUCCUACGGGAGGCAGCAGUAGGGAAUAUUGCGCAAUGGGGGAAAGCCUGACGCAGCUACGCCUCGUGGAGGAUGACACUUUUCGGAGCGUAAACUCCUUUUGUUAGGGAAGCGGUACCUAACGAAUAAGCACCGGCUAACUCCGUGCCAGCAGCCGCGGUAAUUC